rnacentral:rRNA from 1 species
UACGAAGGGGGCUAGCGUUGCUCGGAAUCACUGGGCGUAAAGCGCACGUAGGCGGCUUUCUAAGUCGGGGGUGAAAUCCUGGAGCUCAACUCCAGAACUGCCUUCGAUACUGUCGAUCUUGAGUCCGGGAGAGGUGAGUGGAACUCCGAGUGUAGAGGUGAAAUUCGUAGAUAUUCGGAAGAACACCAGUGGCGAAGGCGGCCCUCUGGCGCGACCCUGACGCUGAGGCGCGAAAGCGUGGGGAGCGAACGGG